rfam:Aedes albopictus isolate Foshan contig81657, whole genome shotgun sequence.
UAGCCUAGUUGUUAAGGCUACGGAUCGCCAAUCUGGAGACUGCGGGUUCGAUUCCCGU